rnacentral:lncRNA from 1 species
CUUUAUCUCUCAAACUGUCUCUAGCCCAAUCUGAAACCCUAAUCAUUUCCCACCUGUUUCUACCAUGUUUUCACCAGAAUCCAUGGAGUUCCAAGCCAUGGGUGGCCUGGUCUCUCUCUCUGUCACCGCUAAACCUAAGCUACUCGAAGUUCGGAGGCCCGAUAUCAAUGGAUCUCAUUAGGUCUGUCUUAAGUCUGUAGAUCUACGGCCUCUUCUUCCAUUAUUCCGACGUGUUUGAGAAAUAAAAGUCUCUUCGACUCAGGAUCCGACUUUCCUCAGGACCUUUCUUAUUCUGAGGUUUUCUCUUAUUCUAAGCCAUCUUAGGGUCUGUACAUGCUUAUUUCUUUUAGAUCUUUGACAUGACUGGUCUUUUCUUGACUUUUCAAAGGGUUUCCCCAAAUUUCCUUUUUAAAAUCGCUCAAAUCCAAUUUUAGGGUUUCUGAAAAAGGAUUUCUUCAAAUACCUUUCCGAUUCUCCUAUUCUUUCUUUAUGUGUGCUUUUGAUUGAUUGUUUUCUUCUACCCACAUGAUUUUACUCUUUUGUCUCUUCUCUAUUAUGCAAGACUCUUCUAUUUUGCUCGCAUGAUUUGUGUUGUUAAUCCUCAAGCUUUGCUAUAUGUAUUUAUGUUGAAGCUCUUUGAUUUUAUUCACCUUACUGAGUUCUGUUUAUGUUCCUG